CUACGGGACGCACCAGUGAGGAAUAUUGUACAAUGGGGGGAACCCUGAUGCAGCAACGCCGCGUGGAGGAUGACGCAUUUCGGUGUGUAAACUCCUUUUAUAUGUCAAGAAAAUGACGGUAGCAUAUGAAUAAGCACCGGCUAACUCCGUGCCAGCAGCCGCGGUAAUACGGAGGGUGCAAGCGUUACUCGGAAUCACUGGGCGUAAAGGACGCGUAGGCGGGUUGGAAAGUCAGGUGUGAAAUCCUACAGCUUAACUGUAGAACCGCAUUGAAACUUCUAAUCUAGAGUAUGGGAGGGGGAGAUGGAAUUAGUGGUGUAGGGGUAAAAUCCGUAGAUAUCACUAGGAAUACCUAAAGCGAAGGCGAUCUCCUGGAACAUUACUGACGCUAAGGCGUGAAAGCGUGGGGAGCAAACAGGAUUAGAUACCCCGGUAGUC
rnacentral:rRNA from 1 species